rnacentral:rRNA from 1 species
AGAUUGAACGCUGGCGGCAUGCUUUACACAUGCAAGUCGAACGGCAGCACGGGGGCAACCCUGGUGGCGAGUGGCGAACGGGUGAGUAAUAUAUCGGAACGUACCCGGAAAUGGGGGAUAACGUAGCGAAAGUUACGCUAAUACCGCAUAUGCCCUGAGGGGAAGCGGGGGAUCGCAAGAACCUCGCGUUUUCGGAGCGGCCGAUAUCGGAUUAGCUAGUAGGUGAGGUAAAGGCUCACCUAGGCGACGAUCCGUAGCUGGUCUGAGAGGACGACCAGCCACACUGGAACUGAGACACGGUCCAGACUCCUACGGGAGGCAGCAGUGGGGAAUUUGGACAAUGGGCGCAAGCCUGAUCCAGCCAUGCCGCGUGAGUGAAGAAGGCCUUCGGGUUGUAAAGCUCUUUCAGCCGGAAAGAAAACGCAACGGUUAAUAACCUGUGUGGAUGACGGUACCGGAAGAAGAAGCACCGGCUAACACGUAGCCAGCAGCCGC